AAUGAUAUUUUCUUGGUUGAAAAAAAAUCCUAACUAUAUUAUGUGUUUUUCAGGUGUUUCAUAUUUCUUUGUGGCGUGUAUUGAAAAAGAUUCAAGCAGUGAAAUCUCCCUCAAACUUGAAGUUUGCCUUCCGUGCUCUGGUUCUGGACUUGGAGCUGCUGGACGCCUCCUUGGACGAGGCCUCUUUAGCCGAGUGGGUGGAUGUUAAAUAUUCUGCACCAGUAAGCGAGCAGCAGUAUUCUCCAGAGGAGGUUGCAGCAGCAAUGAAAAUCCAAGCUAUGUGGAGAGGAGCUUACGUUAGACUGCUCAUGAAAGCCAGAAUACCAGGUAAGGCCCUUCAAACACUUACAAGGACUUGUGCAAAUAAGAAUGA
rnacentral:lncRNA from 1 species